rnacentral:lncRNA from 1 species
CUCUCUCAUGCAAGAUUCAUAUAGUUAUGAUUCAGCUGGUAUUUGAAACUGUGUAAGAGGAAUUGCUGUUUUUAUUUUAGCCAAGCAACAUGCGCAGAAAAUGGGGCGAACGCAGCUGGUUGGGGCAUAGUCUAAAUGCGAUGCAGAGGUGGAGACCACCCAAGCGUGGAGGAGCACUACCAGAGCAAGGCCAGCUCUGACAGCUACGACCCUCCUACUGGUCCGGGCAGCGGGCAGUGGUGCGUCACAAUGGAAGAAGCAUCUCUUCAGCUGCAGUGGGCGCCGAGGUUUGAGAGCCGUUUAGUCUGUCUCCCAGUGCCAAGAGCAAAGGCUCUCUCUUCUCCGUUGCCCCAGGCUGCUGUGCCGUGGCGGAUCCUGCAACCGGCGGUGCAGCCGUGGCCUCUAGCCUGGGCACGCUUCUGCCGUGAGCCAGGCCAUGGACUUUGGACAAGGGAAAAACUAAAGAGUGUUUCAGUGACAUGGAGAGAAGAAGGAGAAAAAGGUCCUGCGCGUGGGCUCAGACAGCCUGGAAGCGCCGGCAGCAGUCAGCAGGAGGAGAGUGUCGCCGGGAUGUGCCGCUGCAAGGCCGAGAUAACCCAGCUCCUCGUCUUGCCCUUGGCUGCUAGGGUCUGCGUGCAGGCGGAGCUCUCCUGGCGCGGGGCGCUGCACAACGCCAUGCGCAGCCGUACCCCGAUGGCCGAGCGGAGAAAUCUGCGCUGCCGUGCUGUACGCUCGGUACGAGACACGUUUCUGGAUCAGUAAUCUAUCAUAAUUUUGUUGGACAGAAGGGAGUAGCACCAGGUUUCUUUCUUCUGGAGGAGAGAGAUUUUGAUUAAUUUUUCCCCUUCUCUUCAGGGUUAGCACUUUGCAUUAUAUAUGUUUCAAGGCAGGGAAAUUGCUUGCUUGACAGCUGUGGAUAAAACAUGAAACUUUAGAUAAUGUUUUAAAUUCACCAGGGACAAACCAGCUUCAAUGUAAUUGAUAAAUUAAACCGAAUUCAAAUAUCA